rnacentral:rRNA from 1 species
GACGUAGGGAGCAAGCGUUGUCCGGAGUUACUGGGCGUAAAGGGCAUGCAGGCGGUCUCUUACGUUGGCCCUGACAGCCGUUGGCUUAACCGACGGAGGCGUGUCAAAACGGAGAGACUUGAGGCUCAGAGAGGCAAACGGAAUUCCACGUGGAGCGGUGAAAUGCGUAGAGAUGUGGAAGAACACCAAAGGCGAAGGCAGUUUGCUGGCUGAGACCUGACGCUCAGGUGCGAAAGCUAGGGGAG